GAAGGUGGGCGAGCGUUGUUCGGAAUCACUGGGCUUAAAGCGCGCGUAGGCGGAAUGGGAUAGUGUCUUGUGAAAGCCCCCGGCUUAACCGGGGAAUUGCUUGGCAUACUUCCCAUUCUUGAGGUAAGUAGGGGUACAUGGAACUCUUGGUGGAGCGGUGGAAUGCGUAGAUAUCAAGAGGAACGCCAAUGGUGAAGACAGUGUACUGGGCUUAUUCUGACGCUGAGGUGCGAAAGCGUGGGGAGCGAACGGGAUUAGAUACCCCGGUAGUCCACGCCGUAAACGAUGUCUACUAGGUUGUGGAGGUUCUGACACCCUCACAGUCGAAGCAAAAGUGUUAAGUAGACCGCCUGGGAAGUACGGUCGCAAGGCUA
rnacentral:rRNA from 1 species